ACCAUCCUCUGUUUAUGAGAAACCCAAGAAACCAAGUUGGUACCGAGAAACACCGCAUACCCACUGGUCGACUUGCGAUCUACUGGACACCCAGCCCAAUC